rnacentral:misc_RNA from 1 species
CUCCUUUCUAGGAGCACCACGAAAAACACCUCCAUCGGGGAGGUGUAUGCCGUGAGGAACCCGUGUGCUGUAGUGGCGCCGGGUUGGGUGCACAACAAACGUGUCGGUGGCGGGGAUAGCGCCGGCGAAAAACUUUGACCAGACACACUAUUGGGCUUUGAGACAACAAGCCCGCGGUCGUACUUCCGUUGUGGGGGUGGGGCCGGCCCUUUGAUCCUCGUUGUGGGGGUUGGGGGUUCUUGUUGUUGCCCUGCUUUGGUGGUGGGGUGUGGUGUUUGAUUUGUGGAUAGUGGUUGCGAGCAUCUGAUGAGACAGACCCGUUGGGUUUGUUUUGUCGGGUAAUGCAAUGUUUCUUCCGAGAAAUA